AAAAUCUGGCCGGUCAGAUGGGAAGAGAAUUUUCAUGGAUAAAGAAAGUUCCAUCUCUCACACUAUGGGCCUGCAGAACUGUACACCAAGAAUUUGCUUCGAUUAAUGCAGAAAAAAGCUGAGAUGGCUCAAGAAAAUCUGAACGGCGACAUGUACUGAGCCUGACUUCAAUCUCUAAUGGUGGAUGAUACGCGUCGGGCAGAACUAUACCUUCAGCAGUUAUAAGUUAUAACACGCACCUCUCCACACACAUCGCUCUCUCAAACCAGAAUUACAUCAAGCAUACCUCCAAUCAUAUUUUUGAUAUUCUCAGACAGACUACAAUAUGAUAAAAAAUACUAAUAAUAAUUAUUAAUAUUUACGGAUGCACUAUUUAAAUUGAGAUCACCUAAUAUUAGAACUGGUGCUUUUAACACAGUCAUUGUGUGCUCCACCUUACGAAACCACUCCAUAUAAUCACAGUCUCUAGCACAAGGUUUAAUGUAUACAACAUAAACGUAGAACCGGUGACCAUGCCAGCAAAAGGAUGACCAGAGAUCCUCCCCAUUGUCGGUCUCCAGUUCAUGGCAUCUGCUCAAUGUGACAGGGGAACGAGCAGCAAGCGCCACACCACCACAUGGCCUGUCUCUAUCUCUGCGCAGAAUACUCCAAUUUGGAAAUUCAAGUUCGAACUCUAUACAGAGCCAUCAAGAAAUGUUUCCGUAGCGGCUACAAUAUCAGAAGCAUUCAUUGCUAAAUUAUUCCGCAACGUACGCAAUUUCGUGUUCAGACCGCGGACGUUCUGAUAGAAGAUUUUAACGGUUUUAUGAUGACUACGCUGAACGAAAGGGCUGUUUCUUGCCUCUAGUAACAGGAACCUUGGUAGCGUCAUUGAUUGUUGCUUUCUGGUGGGUUACCCAAGCCCUAAUUCUGGUGUUUAUGGGCCAGGCUUCAGCUGAAAAGCAUACCUCAUAAGCUGCCACAUGUAUACCAAUCUUGUAGGACUUAUAAUCUCCUCUUGGGUUCAAUUCCUGUACUGGCCAAGUACCGGAGGGGCAAUGCUGACUAAGAUACUCUCUUAAAUCUUCAACAGACGACUCCAUGUUCCACAAAUGCAUGUAUUUACAAGGCUCCACUGCUUUAAGAUUUGUACUAGCUGGACCGGCAGUACAGCAUAACGGAGCUGGGCAACGACUUUUCCUUACAACUUCUAUCCACUGGCCAUCAUCAGGGUCGUUACAGGAAGCUGCCGGAACAUUCGAGUCAUGUACUGCUGGUUCCGAUUCUUUUGCAUUAUGUGGAUGGACAAUGAGGAGGUUUUGGUGGCAAAUGCUGAAGUUUGCUGCAAGCUUUACCACGAUAAGGCUAGCGACGUUCCCUGUUCUUCUUAAGAUUUGCAGAUUGGACAACCGUGGCAGCGCUAGGCUCACUUUGUGGCUGUUCAGUAACACUGACAAAUUUAUGUUUGCGAUACUAUUGUCUAUUAUUCGCGUGGUGUAGACAUCAAGCUUGUUUUCAAGAGUUGCUAAAUCAAGUUUCCGAGGUGACUCGAUCGCCGUACUCGAUCGAUCAAUGUGUUUCAACUAAGCGAAUGAGCUAACCGUGACUUGGAUCUUGAAUUGAAAAAUUCAAUUGUAUGUGGCUUAUGGCAAAUUAUUGUGAGAAAGUAUUCUACACAAUCGUCUAUAACAAACCAUACAAUUUAGAAGUAUUCGCUAUUAAAUACUCACUUGCGAACAUUAAUUAUUUUAAAAACUGUGAUUAAUCCACGAUUUUUGCAUUGAACUAAUUAUAACGCACUUUUUUUACUAUUAAGGCUUCACUUUAGACAUAAUUCUAGCAAAAUCUUUGACUCUAGCCACUUAAAUCUAAUUAAAAAUGUUGAGAGCGAUAUACACGUUACACGGCGCCCUGUCCACUCUAUCGUUACAAUUUUAGAUUCAGGACCCACGCCUACGACUUCAAAAACAUUUAUUGCAACAUCUGAAAAACGAAUACGAAAGACUGUCUAAACCGAUACUACUACACAACGCAAAACAAAACUAUUAAAAAAUAUUAAUUAUGUAAA